rnacentral:rRNA from 1 species
GUAGUCUCGCACAGAUGCAUAUCAAUAAGCGGAGGAAAAGAAACUAACUAGGAUUCCCUCAGUAACGGCGAGUGAAGCGGGAAGAGCUCAAAUUUGAAAUCUUCAAGGUUCUACCUUGACGAAUUGUAGUUUAAAGAAGUGUUUUCUGUUGGAGUUUUGGUAAAAGUUCUUUGGAAUAGGACAUCAUAGAGGGUGAGAAUCCCGUAUUUGACCAUUAUUUCCAGCUUUGUGAUACACUUUCAAAGAGUCGGAUUGUUUGGGAAUGCAUUCCAAAAUGGGUGGUAGAUUUCAUCUAAAGCUAAAUAUUGGCGAGAGACCGAUAGCGAACAAGUACCGUGAGGGAAAGAUGAAAAGAACUUUGAAAAGAGAGUUAAACAGUACGUGAAAUUGUCAAAAGGGAAGCGUUUGACACCAGUGUUGUUUUCUCGAAAAUCAAUUAAAAAAGGCAGGAUUUUGUGUUGUAUUGACUUUAUCAGCUUUCUGCACUCUUUUCUUGUCUUUUUUAAUGCACUUUUCGUUUAACAAGUCAACAUCAAUUUCUUUUGUUGUAAAAGGGUCAUUGGAAGGUGGCUUUCUUUUCGGAGAAAGUGUUUAUAGCCUUUGGCCUCUGCAAUCGGAGAGAUUGAGGUCUGCAGCGUAGAUCCUUCGGGGUUAGAUACAUUUGUGCUAAGUUAUAGCCUUUCAUAGACAACUUGUUGACUAUGAUCAGUCAUGUAGCUUACUCGCUUAUGCUAUUUUACCUACGCUUAGGAUGUUGAAGUCAUCGUAUCGCGC